rnacentral:rRNA from 1 species
GAUUGAACGCUGGCGGCAGGCCUAACACAUGCAAGUCGAGCGGAUGAAGGGAGCUUGCUCCUGGAUUCAGCGGCGGACGGGUGAGUAAUGCCUAGGAAUCUGCCUGGUAGUGGGGGAUAACGUCCGGAAACGGGCGCUAAUACCGCAUACGUCCUGAGGGAGAAAGUGGGGGAUCUUCGGACCUCACGCUAUCAGAUGAGCCUAGGUCGGAUUAGCUAGUUGGUGGGGUAAAGGCCUACCAAGGCGACGAUCCGUAACUGGUCUGAGAGGAUGAUCGGUCACACUGGAACUGAGACACGGUCCAGACUCCUACGGGAGGCAGCAGUGGGGAAUAUUGGACAAUGGGCGAAAGCCUGAUCCAGCCAUGCCGCGUGUGUGAAGAAGGUCUUCGGAUUGUAAAGCACUUUAAGUUGGGAGGAAGGGCAGUAAGUUAAUACCUUGCUGUUUUGACGUUACCAACAGAAUAAGCACCGGCUAACUUCGUG